CCCCGCAUCUGCGGGGGGACCUAUGGGCUCACCCCAGGGGCACACGGCCUGCUCAGCACUGUAGCUAACCCCGUUGGCUCCAAGAUCCACCUUUUCUCCUUGAGUAAUAUGAUCAUUAGCGAACAACGCUCAGUGAGAAGCAGACACAGGGUGUCUCUACCCUCGUGCACGUAAGGGAUGAGACCGGCCUCUGCCAAAACUGCUUUCAGACUCAAGUUCCCACCUGCCUCGGGUUCCUCUUCACUCUGGAUGGAGACUCCCGUUUAAUCUCCUUAGUUACCCAGAUCUAAGGCUCCAAACAGAUACUCUCCACGUGAGCAGUGACCUUUCCAGAAGGUGGCACAUUCCUGCUCUCCUGCCUGUCCCUGCUGGCCUUCCUCCCCGACCUGGCCUUCAUUCACAAGAAGUGGAUUUUUUAAGCAAAGUAAGCCUGUCCCCAGACUACAUUUCAGGGACAGAUGGUGCUAAAUGUGCACGACAAUAACUGUGCAUUGCUCAAGAUGUCCGGGAGAAGGAGUCAGCCCAGCUUCAGCAUGGUCACCAGAGCAAGCUGAACCGUCCUCUGCUCUUGCUGCUCUUACCCCACCAGCCCUCCACAGGAGGGUAGGAGGUCUGGAGCUGUCUUCUUCACAAGGGUAAGUUCUGGAACAGGACAAUGCCAUUUCGAUAUGGUGGGCGUCAAAGCCUAGGGGUCCUGGGGCUCUGUUUUGCCUCCAGCCCACGAAUGUCCCAAUGCCAUGCGAGUUGCCCACAGAGCAUCCAUGGAUGCAGCAGGGAGUCUUUGCUGGCCCCAACUGUGGCUCUGUGGAAGGCUUCUUUAGAGUGGGACAAGAGGAAUCGCGCUGGGGGCAGGUGCUGGUUUAGCGUCCAUGACACCAGUGAGACUACGACUGCUCUUCAGGAACAACUCAUCUCUUCUAUUUUCCCUUUCCUGGCUCCUCUGCGCUCCUAUGGGUCAACCUGGAGACUACGCUUACAGAUGCCACUUGGGACUUUUCACAGAGCUCCGACCAUCACUGAAACUUUGGGGGUUGGUUUUUAAUCCACUGGGGGAAACAUUGUGUGUUGCCUUUCAGAAUCAUAAUUAGGCCAUCUUCGUGGGGGUGUUUAUUUUCUUUAAAAUAGUGAAGUGUGGGCUUUCUUAGAUUGGUUGUCCCAACCCAGAAGCUUGUGCCAGGCUGAAGCGAGCGUGCUUUUCUGGUUUAUUUAUUUUCCUUAAGCUGGAAUGCACUGGUUUAUCUUAGACUCUUUUGUUGAUUCUGCUCUUUUAGUGUUGGGAAGGCUGGCUCUGGCUUACACAUGAAAAGAAAGCAAAUUCCUCAUGACUGGGGACAGUGUGACAGUUAAGAACAGAGACUCUGGUCCAGGCUGCUGCUGUUCAAAUGCUGGCCCCACAAUGGAAGGGCUGUGAAGCCCCAGGCAAGUUGCUCAACCUCUCUGUGCCUCUCUUGCCUCAUCAACACAAUGGGAAUAAUAGUACCUACACCACAGAGUUUAUCAAAGCAUACUUUUCAAAAAGUUAAAACACUAUUCUCAUGUAAAUAUAGAGCGAGCAUGAAUCAAAUACUUAUUUUAUUCAUUAGCAAGGGAACCAGCAGGUUGAGAACACUGGGGUUCACAGAAUAUGUGGGCUAAUGUGUAUAUAUAGUUCCAAGUUCAGGCAUUUUUAUAACAGGUAGUUAUGAGAAGACUGAAUUAGUACAUAUAUUUAUGUGUAUAUAUACUAAUGACAUAUGUGUAUAUAUGUAAUAAUAUAGGUAUAUAGGUAUGUAUGUAAUAUAGGUAUAUAUUUACUAUAUAUACUAUGCUGGAUAGAACUGAACUUGACACAUUAUAAGCACUACAUAACUUUCACCAUUAUCAUUAUUUUGUAACUAAAAUAAAUUUUUCUCUCACUAUGUA